rnacentral:rRNA from 1 species
CAGCAGUAGCCGCGGGAAUACGGAGGGAGCUAGCGUUGUUCGGAAUUACUGGGCGUAAAGCGCGCGUAGGCGGUUACUCAAGUCAGAGGUGAAAGCCCGGGGCUCAACCCCGGAACUGCCUUUGAAACUAGGUGACUAGAAUCUUGGAGAGGUCAGUGGAAUUCCGAGUGUAGAGGUGAAAUUCGUAGAUAUUCGGAAGAACACCAGUGGCGAAGGCGACUGACUGGACAAGUAUUGACGCUGAGGUGCGAAAGCGUGGGGAGCAAACAGGAUUAGAUACCCGUGUAGUCCCUGUCUCUUAUAC